UAAGAGACUCAGAGUCUCAUCUUGACAAACACUGUUGUCUUGGUGUGCUAGAGUUCUCUAAGAGCAAAAACUGGUCCUAUUCACCGACUGGUUCCUUGUAGACCAGUCACCCACAUGGGCAGUUACAAGU
ensembl:snoRNA small nucleolar RNA SNORA3/SNORA45 family